rnacentral:rRNA from 1 species
AGUGAACGCUGGCGGCAGGCCUAACACAUGCAAGUCGAGCGGCAGCGGGUCCUUCGGGAUGCCGGCGAGCGGCGGACGGGUGAGGAAUGCGUCGGAAUCUGCCUUUUUGUGGGGGAUAACGUAGGGAAACUUACGCUAAUACCGCAUACGACCUACGGGUGAGAGUGGGGGACCGCAAGGCCUCACGCAGAAAGAUGAGCCGACGCCGGAUUAGCUAGUUGGCGGGGUAAAGGCCCACCAAGGCGACGAUCCGUAGCUGGUCUGAGAGGAUGAUCAGCCACACUGGAACUGAGACACGAUCCAGACUCCUACGGGAGGCAGCAGUGGGGAAUAUUGGACAAUGGGCGCAAGCCUGAUCCAGCCAUGCCGCGUGUGUGAAGAAGGCCUUCGGGUUGUAAAGCACUUUUGUCCGGAAAGAAAUCCAAUCGAUUAAUACUCGGUUGGGAUGACGGUACCGGAAGAAUAAGCACCGGCUAACUUCGUGCCAGCCGCCGCCGUAAUAC